rnacentral:rRNA from 1 species
AUUGAACGCUGGCGGCAGGCCUAAAACAUGCAAGUCGAACGAGUGGCGGACGGGUGAGUAAUGUCCGGGAAACUGCCUGAUGGAGGGGGAUAACUAUUGGAAACGGUAGCUAAUACAGCAUACCAUCAGAUGUGCCCAGAUGGGACUAGCUAGUUGGUGGGGAAACGGCUCACCAAGGCGACGAUCCCUAGCUGGGCUGAGAGGAUGACCAGCCACACUGGAACUGGGACACGGUCAAGACUCCUACGGGGAGCAGCAGUGGGGAAUAUUGCACAAUGGGCGCAAGCCUGAUGCAGCCAUGCCGCGUGUAUGAAGAAGGCCUUCGGGUUGUAAAGUACUUUCAGCGGGGAGGCGUUACCCGCAGAAGAAGCGCCGGCUAACUCCGUGCCAGCAGCCGCGGUAAUAC